rnacentral:rRNA from 1 species
UACGGGGGGAGCAAGCGUUGUUCGGAUUUACUGGGCGUAAAGGGCGCGUAGGCGGCGUGACAAGUCACUUGUGAAAUCUCCGGGCUUAACCCGGAGCGGCCAAGUGAUACUGUCGUGCUAGAGUGCGGAAGGGGCUACUGGAAUUCUCGGUGUAGCGGUGAAAUGCUUAGAUAUGACAUAGAACACCAAUUGCGAAGGCAGCUUACUACACAGCAAUUGACACUGAGGCACGAAAGCGUGGGGAUCAAACAGG